GCGUAUUCUGAUUCACUUUUGGUAGAACGUGGGUCUCCAAAACCCGAUGUCGUAGGUUCAAAUCCUACAAAGCGUG